GACGAACGCUGGCGGCGUGCUUAACACAUGCAAGUCGAGCGGUAAGGCCCUUUCGGGGGUACACGAGCGGCGAACGGGUGAGUAACACGUGGGUGACCUGCCCUCAGCUCUGGGAUAAGCCUGGGAAACCGGGUCUAAUACUGGAUAUGACUCCAUGACGCAUGUUGUGGGGUGGAAAGCCUUGUGCGGCUGAGGAUGGGCCCGCGGCCUAUCAGCUUGUUGGUGGGGUGAUGGCCUACCAAGGCGACGACGGGUAGCCGGCCUGAGAGGGCGACCGGCCACACUGGGACUGAGACACGGCCCAGACUCCUACGGGAGGCAGCAGUGGGGAAUCUUGCGCAAUGGGCGAAAGCCUGACGCAGCGACGCCGCGUGGGGAUGAAGCUUCUCGGAGUGU
rnacentral:rRNA from 1 species